UACGGAAGGCAGCAGCGGGGAAUAUUGCACAAUGGGCGAAAGCCUGAUGCAGCUAUGCCGCGUGUAUGAAGAAGGCCUUAGGGUUGUAAAGUACUUUCAUCGGGGAGGAAAAAACAAAACUAAUAAUUUUAUUUCUUGACGUUACCCGAAAAAGAAGCACCGGCUAACUCCGUGCCAGCAGCCGCGGUAAUACGGAGGGUGCUAGCGUUAAUCAGAAUUACUGGGCGUAAAGAGCACGUAGGUGGUUUUUUUAAAGUCAGAUGUGAAUCCCUGGGCUUAACCUAGGAACUGCAUUUUGAAACUGAAAUACUAGAGUAUCGUAGAGGGAGGUAGAAUUCUAGGUGUAGCGGUGAAAUGCGUAGAUAUCUGGAGGAAUACCUGUGGCGAAAGCGGCCUCCUAAACGAAUACUGACACUGAGGUGCGAAAGCGUGGGGAGCAAACAGGGAUUAGAUACC
rnacentral:rRNA from 1 species